rnacentral:misc_RNA from 1 species
CCAAACUUGGUCAUUUAGAGGAAGUAAAAGUCGUAACAAGGUUUCCGUAGGUGAACCUGCGGAAGGAUCAUUAACAGAUUUUCAAUAAUCCAUAUCCACCUUGUGUGCAAUUUUGCAUAAAGUUAAUAAUGUCCUUUGGAAAAAUUGUUUUCAUAAUAGUUUUUCCAAAGAGGUUAUUAUAAUCAAUCUAUUUUUCUUCUCUUCAUCAUGUCUAAAAUUAUAUUUAAAUAAAAAAUAACUUUCAACGACGGAUCUCUUGGCUCUCGCAUCGAUGAAGAACGCAGC